AUUGAACGCUGGCGGCAUGCCUUACACAUGCAAGUCGAACGGCAGCACGGGUGCUUGCACCUGGUGGCGAGUGGCGAACGGGUGAGUAAUACAUCGGAACAUGUCCUGUAGUGGGGGAUAGCCCGGCGAAAGCCGGAUUAAUACCGCAUCCGAUCCACGGAUGAAAGCGGGGGCCCUUCGGCCCUCGCGCUAUAGGGUUGGCCGAUGGCUGAUUAGCUAGUUGGUGGGGUAAAGGCCUACCAAGGCGACGAUCAGUAGCUGGCCUGAGAGGACGACCAGCCACACUGGGACUGAGACACGGCCCAGACUCCUACGGGAGGCAGCAGUGGGGAAUUUUGGACAAUGGGCGAAAGCCUGAUCCAGCAAUGCCGCGUGUGUGAAGAAGGCCUUCGGGUUGUAAAGCACUUUUGUCCGGAAAGAAAUCCUUGGCCCUAAUACGGUCGGGGGAUGACGGUACCGGAAGAAUAAGCACCGGCUAACUACGUG
rnacentral:rRNA from 1 species